AGUUGUACAGAUAUCACAUUU
rnacentral:miRNA from 1 species